GGGUCCCACAGUACAAAGCCAAUUCCCACUCCAUUCCCUCCUCUCCCCGCCCCACCCCGAAUCUCCCAGCAGGAAUCCAAGCGCUUUGUGCAGUGGCAGUCGUCUAUCUGAGCCCCUCCUCCCGGCUGGACUGGAGCCUGGCUCCCCUCUUCGUUCCUUCCCUGGCUGCCGGAGGAGACCCCACUAACCCAGCCUGCCUGGGCUCUGACCACUAACACUCUUGGCCACGGACAGCCCGCACAGGACCGCCUCCCUGCCCUUGGCCACUGUGCCCCCGUCUCUGUCCUUGGCCUUGGGAGUAGCUGAGGGGGCAGACUAGGGAGUAGGGCUGGCAGGGGAGGGGGCAGACAGCCUCGCACCCUUCAUCCCUGGCUGCCAGUCCCAUCCUUGGAGGGACUAAGCUGGGGGCGGGGGACAUGAGUCCCCCUGCUGCCCCUGCCACGUCCCAGUGGGCUCUGACCCCCUGAUCUCAACUUGUGGCACUAACUUGGAAAAGGGUUGAUUUAAAAUAAAAGGGAAGACUAUUUUACAAG
rnacentral:sRNA from 1 species